GACUCUCGGCAACGGAUAUCUCGGCUCUCGCAUCGAUGAAGAACGCAGCGAAAUGCGAUACUUGGUGUGAAUUGCAGAAUCCCGCGAAUCAUCGAGUCUUUGAACGCAAGUUGCGCCCGAGGCCCUUCGGCCGAGGGCACAUCUGCUUGGGCGUCGA
rnacentral:rRNA from 2 species